rnacentral:rRNA from 1 species
CAGCCGCCGCGGUAAUACGUAGGUGACAAGCGUUGUCCGGAUUUACUGGGCGUAAAGAGCGCGCAGGCGGUCGAUCAAGUCGAGUGUGAAAGCCCCCGGCUCAACUGGGGAGGGUCAUUCGAUACUGAUCGACUCGAAGGCAGGAGAGGGUAGUGGAAUUCCCGGUGUAGUGGUGAAAUGCGUAGAUAUCGGGAGGAACACCAGUGGCGAAGGCGACUACCUGGCCUGUUCUUGACGCUGAGGCGCGAAAGCUGGGGGAGCAAACGGGAUUAGAUACCCCGGUAGUCCUAGCCGUAAACGAUGGACACUAGGUGUUGGUGGUAUCAACCCCGCCAGUGCCGAAGCUAACGCAUUAAGUGUCCCGCCUGGGGAGUACGGCCGCAAGGCUAAAACUCAAAGGAAUUGACGG